GGUUAUGGCUCAGUGGUACAGCACUCGCCUAGCAUGUGCGAGGCCCUGGGUUCAAUCCUCAGCACCA
rnacentral:tRNA from 1 species